UACGGAGGAUCCGAGCGUUAUCCGGAAUUAUUGGGUUUAAAGGGUGCGUAGGCGGAUAUCUAAGUCAGUGGUGAAAGACGGUGGCUCAACCAUCGCAGUGCCGUUGAUACUGGAUAUCUUGAAUGUACUUGAGGGAAGCGGAAUGUGGCAAGUAGCGGUGAAAUGCAUAGAUAUGCCACAGAACACCGAUAGCGUAGGCAGCUUUCCAAGGUAUGAUUGACGCUGAGGCACGAAAGCGUGGGGAUCGAACAGG
rnacentral:rRNA from 1 species